AUGACAAUGAAGGGAAACCCUAAACCUUUAUCGUCCCCAUCCCCACGAAAGUACCUAAAGCCAGGAGCUCUUGCAAAACUGAGAGACUCCAACAAAAUCAAAUCCAAUAGGAAGCUGCAAAACCGACUGAACUUAUUAGAUCUUGCUCAACUCUCACCAAUAACACCAACUUCUUCAUCACCUCCACAGAAUUUCGAUAACGUUGUUCCUUGCUUUGAUCCAACUUUCGUUAACAGCCCUCGAUGUCUCGGUAGAAAGAAACUCUUCGCUGUUACACCUAUUUUUACCGAACAUACAGACACAUAUUUGUUUUAG